GAACUAUGAGACACACUUAACCGGGACCCUUUUUAUUUCAUUUUCAAUAUUACAGGAAAUUGAUUACAUUCAGUAACAUUUGUAAACCUUACGGUCACUAUUGUUAAAUGGGUUAAUUUCUUGGGGUAAAGAUACACACGUUUAAAUACAUCUGACAUAAAAAUGUGUACAUUGUCAGUGUGAACCAUGACGCAGCACAAUUGGCAUGCGACGACAACCAGUUUGUAGUUCGUAGUCGCUUAAACUUCACUACCCAGAAAUCCAUGAGAAUAAUUCGGCGCUGGUUGGCUGAAAAAGCCACAACCCCUCGUGAUUAUUCAAGGCGAACUGCUGGUCAACUUUAACGCAGCUACAUAAGGCUCAGAUAAUGUGUUUUAUCCAGUGUGACCUGACGUUUCGUGAGUGCGAUGGCCUUAAACUGCAGUAGAUUUUACCGUCUUAUCUUAGGAGCACACAGCGCGGCUGAGGUCUGCUCAAAGGGAACAGUUCAACAGUACUCCAGUAUUGCACGUGAAGAAAACAGACUGCUGCAGGUCAGAGAGCUUACAGUACCUGGUGGUCAUAGGCAGGACCUUAAGGAUGCCCUGCCUUUUUCAGCAUUCCUUACUGACUCCUUCGGACGAAGACAUAAUUACCUUCGUAUUUCCCUGACUGAGAAGUGUAAUUUUCGCUGUCAGUACUGUAUGCCUGAGGAGGGAGUUAAACUCACACCACGCUCUGAGCUUUUAACACCAGUGGAGGUGCUGACAUUAGCCAGACUUUUUGUGCUAGAGGGGGUGAACAAGAUACGCUUGACUGGAGGAGAACCCCUCAUUCGGCAAGAUAUUUUGGAUAUUAUAGUGGAAUUAAGAAAGUUGGAAGGUCUGAAGACAAUUGCUGUCACCACUAAUGGCAUGAAUUUGACCAGACUGCUGCCUGGUCUUAUGAAGGCUGGAGUAGAUCUCCUUAACAUCAGCUUGGACACUCUAGUCCCUGCCAAAUUUGAGUUCAUCACUAGACGUAAAGGAUUUCAUAAAGUGAUAAAAGGCAUUGAGAAGGCUAUUGAAAUGGGCUACAAUCCAGUCAAGAUAAACUGUGUGGUCAUGAGAGGUCUGAAUGAAGACGAGUUACUGGACUUUGUGGCUCUAACAGAGAAGAAACCUUUGGAUGUGAGAUUCAUAGAAUACAUGCCUUUUGAUGGUAAUCGAUGGAACUUCAAGAAGAUGGUGAGCUAUCGGGAAAUGUUGGACUGUAUAAAGCAGAAAUGGCCGGGUUUGGAGCUGGUGCCUGGAGAAGAAACCGACACAUCCAAGUCAGAGAAAACAACCAUUUUUGUUUCACUCAAGAAAGAAAUCAUUAAGGCAUUUAGAGUACCAGGAUUUCAGGGCCAGCUGGGAUUCAUUACCUCUAUGUCAGACAAUUUCUGUGGCUCAUGCAGUCGUCUACGAAUCACGGCCGAUGGAAACCUGAAGGUGUGUUUGUUUGGGAACUCUGAGGUAUCCUUGAGGGAUUGUUUGCGUUCUGGAGCAUCUAAAGAGGAACUUUUGCACAUCAUAGGGGCGGCAGUGGGGAGGAAAAAUAAACAGCAUGCAGGGAUGAAUAAUAUAUCUCAGAUGAAGAACAGGCCGAUGAUCCUCAUUGGUGGGUGAUGUGGCUGGUCCUUGCCAUUUUGGAGCAAUUUUUGCUGAAAAAAACUUCUCUGCCUUGGAAUAAGGGAGUCAUCAGGAGAAACAUCUCGUGGCAGCAAAAGCACAUCCAUGUGUCCUCGGAGUGAGCGAUGAAGGUUUAACUCCGCUGGUGUUACUCCUGUGGACUCAUGUACGGCAGAAUUGAGGGCAAACCUGAACUCAGAGUUCCUGGAACAAGGAAGAGACAAACUGUGAUCCUCGAUCAGACAAGAUGUAAUCUGGAACUCCCCAUCUCGUGAAGAUUGCAUCUGGCAUCUGCAAGCAUUUAGAAUCAAUCCAAGGCAGGAUUUUCCUAUAAUCCACUUCAAUUUUUAGUGGCCUCAGCUACAACCCUUCAAGAAAUAACAUUCAGCAUUGGUGUGGCAAAGCCCAUAAUACACAAGCACUUUCUCUGAAGCACUAGAUUUGAAUAAUCAGGAAAAUCUUAUAUAUUUUUUUUUAUAUUUGUUAUGGAAUGAGAGCAGCCUUUAAGACACUUAAUGAAAGAUUAUUAUUGUCAGGUGAAUCUUGCUGCUUUUCAAAAACAUGCAAUUGUACAUUUUCAUACACGUCUUUUGGUGGAGAUCUUGCCCUACACAGUGUUAACAUAUUGUCUAAAUCAAGCUUUUGACAAAGGUCACCCUAGGCCCUGGCUUUAAUCUGGUGCAGAGCCCUUUAGGAAGAAAAUUGGGUUAACUCAAUUUACUUCAAUAAAACCUUUUUUUACAGCAAUGGCGGAUCAUAAAACCUCUCAAGAGUUCCAGGAAGUAACUGUCAGCCCCAUACAGCUGUAGCAGAAAAGACUAAAUGUGAUGAACUUGAUGAAAGUUUUAAGACUUAAGACAUUAAAAAAAUAAAAUGGAAUAUAAGCACUACAUGUGAAUCAAAUCACUUUGUUCAUCAAUCCAUUUUUAGUGGAUUAUUUCUCAUUAAAUUAGUACAUUUAAUAAUUAUAUUUGUAUACCUAACCUUACGCAAACUGCAGUUGCCUUGUAAUUGAAUAGUUUUUUUCUGAAUUCUUGUUAUUAAAAUUAUUCUGACUAAAAAUAAAGUAUUAUGUAAGAUUCUAAAAGUAUUUGCUCACAUGCUGUUCUUGGUGUUGGACAAUGUGCUGUAAUCUUGCUUUAAUUGAUUUCAAAGGGCAUUUUUAUAAAAAAUGUUAACGACAUACUUAUAUAAUGGCAUACCAUAGUUGUUACCAUUAUAAUGUUAAUGUGUUGUUUUUUGUGACGACAUGCUUAUUAAAGCAACACUAAAGACUUAUUGCUCUUUGCUCCCCCUACAGGUUAGAAGCGUAAUUGUUAAUUACCACUAUCGUAAAUACUGCAGCAUAGCUGGCUCUGAUUGGAUUGUAGGUCUGCCGUAAAGCAAGUUUUUGUAGUUUUCACUCGAACUACAGGCCCACUACCCGACAGUUGGAAACUUCUUUAGUGCGGUUUUGGCCGAUAGAGGGCUGCAAAGCGAAUGUGAAAGUGUUAUUCACCCUGUUUUGAGUGGAUGAACCUCUGAAACUUUUUUGGAAACGUUAUUUUAAGGUAAAAAAAACUCUUUGGUGUUGCUUUAAUGACAUACCAUAGUUUGUUACCAAUAGCAUUAUCAAAGUUUAAAGGAGACAUAUCAUGCUAAAUCCACUUUCUUAGCUCUUAAAUGCAUUUUGUUGUAUAUUUGUAGUGUUUAUAAGUACAUAAAAGUUGAAAUUAGUCUCUUCA